rnacentral:rRNA from 1 species
UACGAAGGGGGCUAGCGUUGUUCGGAAUCACUGGGCUUAAAGGGCGCGUAGGCGGGUGUGCAAGUCUGUGGUGAAAGCCUCCAGCUUAACUGGAGAAGUGCCGUGGAUACUGCACAUCUUGAGGAGGGUAGGGGCAUCUGGAACGGUCGGUGGAGCGGUGAAAUGCGUUGAUAUCGACCGGAGCUCCGGUGGCGAAGGCGAGGUGCUGGACCCUUUCUGACGCUGAGGCGCGAAAGCCAGGGGAGCAAACGGG